rnacentral:rRNA from 1 species
UUUGUAGAAGGUGCUUCGGGCAAGGUUACGGUCCAAGUCCCUUGGAACAGGGCGUCGCAGAGGGUGAGAAUCCCGUACGCGGCCGAAGACUGAGCCCAUGUGAAGCCCUUUCGACGAGUCGAGUUGUUUGGGAAUGCAGCUCUAAAUGGGUGGUAAAUUUCAUCUAAAGCUAAAUAUCUGCCAGAGACCGAUAGCGCACAAGUAGAGUGAUCGAAAGAUGAAAAGCACUUUGAAAAGAGAGUCAAACAGUACGUGAAAUUGUUGAAAGGGAAGCGCUUGCAACCAGACUCGUUCGCGGGUGUUCAGCCACUGUACGCAGUGGUGCACUCUCCCGCCGCGGGCCAGCAUCGGUUCCGGCGACCGGACAAAGGUCUCAGGAAAGUAGCUCUCUUCGGGGAGUGUUAUAGCCUGGGGCGCAAUGCGGCCAGCUGGGACCGAGGAACGCGCAUUGCUAGGAUGCUGGCGUAAUGGUUGCCAGCGACCCGUCUUGAAACACGGA